rnacentral:rRNA from 1 species
GGAAUUUUGGGCAAUGGGCGAAAGCCUGACCCAGCAACGCCGCGUGAAGGAUGAAAUCCCUCGGGAUGUAAACUUCGCAAGAACAGGAAGAAUAAGUAAGGGUUAAUAUCUCUUAUGAUGACGGUACUGUUUGUAAGCUCCGGCUAACUCCGUGCCCGCAGCCGCGGUAAUACGGGGGGAGCAAGCGUUGUUCGGAUUCAUGGGGCGUAAAGGGCGCGUAGGCGGCCCGGUUAGUCCGUCAUGAAAUGUACCGGUUCAACUGGGGCACUGUGUCGGAAACUGCUGGGCUAGAGGUCGAGGGAGGAAAGUGGAAUUCCUGGUGUAGCGGUGAAAUGCGUAGAUAUCAGGAGGAACACCCGUGGCGAAGGCGGCUUUCUAUCUCGAAUCUGACGCUGAGGCGCGAAAGCUAGGGGAGCAAA